GAUGAACGCUGGCGGCGUGCUUAACACAUGCAAGUCGAACGAUGAAGCUGGAGCUUGCUCUGGUGGAUUAGUGGCGAACGGGUGAGUAACACGUGAGCAACCUGCCCCUGACUCUGGGAUAACAGCCGGAAACGGCUGCUAAUACCGGAUAUGCACCAUGAACGCAUGUUCUGUGGUGGGAAAGAUUUUUCGGUUGGGGAUGGGCUCGCGGCCUAUCAGCUUGUUGGUGAGGUAAUGGCUCACCAAGGCGUCGACGGGUAGCCGGCCUGAGAGGGUGACCGGCCACACUGGGACUGAGACACGGCCCAGACUCCUACGGGAGGCAGCAGUGGGGAAUCUUCCGCAAUGGGCGAAAGCCUGACGGAGCAACGCCGCGUGAGUGAUGAAGGUCUUCGGAUCGUAAAACUCUGUUAUUAGGGAAGAACAUAUGUGUAAGUAACUGUGCACAUCUUGACGGUACCUAAUCAGAAAGCCACGGCUAACUACGUG
rnacentral:rRNA from 1 species